ensembl:lncRNA
AGGGAGGGGCUUUCCAGAAUAGGGCAUAUUUGCCUGUGGUUGUCUCUGAAAUGACGUUUGAGCAGAGGAGGCCUGUGGAUGGCUGAGGAAGUGUGGCUAGCUGAGGCAGAGGGAACGGCAGUGCAAAGGCCCUGUGGCAGGACUAUGCCGGGUUGUUCUGAGGAGCAUUGAGCGGCUGAGCAGAUACGCCAAGCCCACAGUUGCUAUCCCUGGCUGGGUGAUGAUCAAGAGACCAGGCAGUAACCAGGCGAUGUAGGUAAGGGUCCCAGGAGAGAUGCGCCUGGUGAGCUCGCAGAGGCAGCCCCUAACCCAUCUAGACUGGAGUUGGGGGCAGGGACAAGUUGCCCAAGAGAUCCAGCCCCUGCUGGGUCAAAGCCUGUGAGCGGGAGAUGGCUGGGUGAAGGAGGCAGAGGUCAAAUAGAGGGAAGCACAGAGGAGGAGCUGGAGGGGACAGUUGAGACCCUGGGCAGAGGGCCUUACACACGGGCCACAGAGUCUGGACUUUGUCCCCGCAGGCAGUGGGGAGCCAUGGAAAGCUUCCAGCCGGGAAACAGCCCGGCCAGAUUCCGGUGCCAUAGCUAGUGACACGUCUGUACCAAAGCAUAGGCCCUGAGGGUCUCUCAGCCCCUCCUAGGGCUGGGGGCCUUGCACGUGGUUUGUCCCUGGGUACUGCCUCUUCUUUCUGCAGCAGCAGUCCUCGGACGUGUCUGCGAAGGGGAGAGGUGCACCCCCGCCCCAGUCUCCAGAGAGAAGCCUGUGUCCACUCUAGAAAUGAAGCAAACAACAGCCACUGUUAAGGCAGGCAGCCCUAUGUGCCCAGAAGAUGCCCAUUUUCCACUCACCAGGCUGCCCAGACAGCUCAGAGGGUGAGAGGUCUUCUACAACAUAGCUCCCUGUGCCCCCCCAGCUCCCCCUACUAGAGGGUCGGUGCCUCUCUGCACAGAUGGUAACUGGAUGGCUGCAUCGUGCCGGGUGGAAACGCAUUUACAGUAUGGGACGCUGGUGCUCUGACACAAGCAGGGGUCUAGGGUAGAGAGCCCGAGGGCAGCCGGAAGGGGACCCCGGGGCGGCUGAGGGGAGGGGAGCAGCGUGAGGACUCCCCAGAGAGGAGGUGGCAGGUGGAGCUGAAGAGAAAAGCUUGGCGGCUUCCCAAUUCAGCUGGGCCACAGCUUUGUCAAUGGCCAGCUCUCUACCCGCCGGGCCCCUGGCCUGGCCCCGGGCCUGCGGUUUUCCUCAGUAGAACAGCGGGCGGCAGCUUCCGAGAAACCCCACCAAGACUUUCCUGUCAGGGCAACUCCAAGUUCCUCUUCAGGAAGGGGAAGUGGGGGAGUUUCUCCUAAGGGCUUUCAGUUUCUUUCUAAGAAGCCGGAGUGUCCCAACCCCGCAGUGCAGAGCCAGGUGUUAAGGGAAGAGACGUCCCACGGCAGGGGCUUUCCUAUCUCGGGUUCACAGGUGGACAUUCCAAAAGAGGAAAACUGGACCCGAGUUUUGCAGGCCCUUUCCCAUGCCCCUCUCCUUUCUUCCCCCUCCGGUCACACGUCCCCUGCGCCCCUCCCUGCCCCCACCAACACGUGCAGUGCAUGCACAGAAUGUGGCCUGCCCUCCCUCGGGGACCUGCCAGGUGGAAAUUUAUUUCCUCAGCCCUCCCAGCCGACGUCCUGGGAGCUCAGCUUCCUCGGGGCUCUGCUGGGCGACUCAACAUCUGACCCAGAUCAAGACCCAACAGGUGACUCCAGCUUCUUGCCGAUGCUGGGCCACGGAAGACCUCCAAACUUCUUUGAGGACACACUGUGGGAGCCCCAAGAACUGAGAGCCUGCCUUUUUUUUAAGAAGGCUUGGCUUGGUGGCAAAGCAGAAGUCCUGAUGUGAUUAUAAACAAGAGCCACCAUGGAGGCUAAGCACUUACCGUGUGCUAGCAUUUUACAUGAAUAUCCUCCUGUAACCCACCCCCCCAACCGAGGGGGCAAUCCCAUGACAAAGACACCAUUGUUACUCCUGAAGUCAAGCAACCUGCCCAUUCACCCAGCCCGCAAGCCUGUUCUUCCCAGUAGACUGCUUCUCAGAAAGGCGGGGAAGAAAGACUAUCAGGCCCUCAAAGGAGCUGGCUGGGAAGGUGUGAUCUCCAAUAUCGCCGAUCCUCAAAGCAAGCUCUGAGUGGUGAAGAGCCAGCGAUCUAGUUACCGCCGGCUUUGCAGCACGGCCACGGCUGGGGGUCUCCCCAGGACAUCCACACUCCUGUCGCCUCUUCUGUUCUCCUCUUACAGGCAUCGUGUUAGGGUUUCUGCUUUGCCAACACAUGCGUUAUGGGGACAGUGUGGGGAUUUCCCCAAACCAUGACGCUGUUCUGCUCAAAAACAUUUGCCUAGAAGUCCACAACUGUGUGACUCACGCUGUUGAGGUGUCAAGAAAACUCACAGCUGCAGGGUGGAGGGGCCGGACCCACACGGAAGGGGGCACUCGGAGGGUGAGCAGUUCGGUACAUAAAAAUACAGGACACCCAGUUACAUUUGAGUUUCAGAUCAACUACAACAUUUGGGAUACC